rnacentral:rRNA from 1 species
GCUUACCAUGCAAGUCGAACGGUAGCGGGCCUUCGGGUGCCGACGAGUGGCGAACGGGUGAGUAAUGUAUCGGAACGUACCAUUGAGUGGGGGAUAACGUAGCGAAAGUUACGCUAAUACCGCAUAUUCUCUCCGGAGGAAAGCAGGGGACCGCAAGGCCUUGCGCUCUUUGAGCGGCCGAUAUCAGAUUAGCUAGUUGGUGAGGUAAAGGCUCACCAAGGCGACGAUCUGUAGCGGGUCUGAGAGGAUGAUCCGCCACACUGGAACUGAGACACGGUCCAGACUCCUACGGGAGGCAGCAGUGGGGAAUUUUGGACAAUGGGGGCAACCCUGAUCCAGCCAUGCCGCGUGAGUGAAGAAGGCCUUCGGGUUGUAAAGCUCUUUCGGCCGGGAAGAAAUCGCAUGGGCCAAUACCCUGUGCGGAUGACGGUACCGGCAUAAGAAGCACCGGCUAACUACGUGCCAGCAGCCGCGGUAAUACGUAGGGUGCGAGCGUUAAUCGGAAUUACUGGGCGUAAAGCGUGCGCAGGCGGUUUUGUAAGACAGGCGUGAAAUCCCCGGGCUCAACCUGGGAACUGCGUUUGUGACUGCAAGGCUAGAGUACGGCAGAGGGGGGUGGAAUUCCACGUGUAGCAGUGAAAUGCGUAGAGAUGUGGAGGAACACCAAUGGCGAAGGCAGCCCCCUGGGUCGAUACUGACGCUCAUGCACGAAAGCGUGGGUAGCAAACAGGAUUAGAUACCCUGGUAGUCC